UGCCGCCUACGGGGGGCAGCAGUGGGGGAUAUUGCACAAUGGGGGGAACCCUGAUGCAGCGACGCCGCGUGGGCGAUGGAGUGCUUCGGCAUGUAAAGCCCCAUCAGCAGGGAAGAAAAUGACGGUACCUGACUAAGAAGCCCCGGCUAAAUACGUGCCAGCAGCCGCGGUAAUACGUAUGGGGCAAGCGUUAUCCGGAUUUACUGGGUGUAACGGGAGCGUAGGCGGCC
rnacentral:rRNA from 1 species